rnacentral:rRNA from 1 species
GGAAGAGACUUUGCAGAGAUGGCAUUGAGUGCCUUCGGGAACUCUGAGACAGGUGCUGCAUGGCUGUCGUCAGCUCGUGUUGUGAAAUGUUGGGUUAAGUCCCGCAACGAGCGCAACCCUUAUCCUUUGUUGCCAGCGGUUAGGCCGGGAACUCAAAGGAGACUGCCAGUGAUAAACUGGAGGAAGGUGGGGAUGACGUCAAGUCAUCAUGGCCCUUACGAGUAGGGCUACACACGUGCUACAAUGGCGCAUACAAAGAGAAGCGACCUCGCGAGAGCAAGCGGACCUCAUAAAGUGCGUCGUAGUCCGGAUUGGAGUCUGCAACUCGACUCCAUGAAGUCGGAAUCGCUAGUAAUCGUAGAUCAGAAUGCUACGGUGAAUACGUUCCCGGGUCUUGUACACACCGAAA